UUCACACAGAGGGAGGCUUCCUCUGGAAAGUUCAGUUUGGCUCUCCUGCCCCUGAAUUUUAGAGCAGCAUCGUCGUAGGCUUUGGCUGCAUCUUCUGGUGUGGAGAAAGUGCCGAGCCAAACACGAACUCUUUUGUUAGGGUCUCUGAUUUCUGCAGCCCAUUUGCCCCAGGGUCUCUCUCUCACUCCUCUGACUGCGAUAAAUGCGAUUGGAUUCGUAAGCAUUUUUUGAGCUCCUAUAAUGUAAGAGGGACUAUUGCCAAUGUUUCAAGAUUUGAAUUACUCUAAGAACGUCAAAGAAAGAGCAGCAAAACUCUGUAGUAAAUGAGACGCAAAAGAAAACAGGCAAAAAUCACCAGUUUCUCGGUCGAUGCAGUAGAUGGGUGUUGUCGAUGCCGUCAAAGAGUGCUCGUGAUCUCUUUGUCUCUGUCUCUGUCUCUUGACGGUGGAGAGGAAUUGGGUAUUAUUAUUGUUAACAUCGAGAAUGACCCGCUCUGGAUUCGAACCCUGAUCCGAUCCAUUUUCGUGUAUGGCCAUUUUGUAGUUCACCUAAAAUCCAAGCUCUGAGCAGGGCAUCAAAAUAAUAGCAAACAGCUAUGAUGAAGUAUUGUGAUUACACAAGGGUUUUGUGAAUUCAUGGCAGCGCUCGACAGUCUUCGACGACUUUAAAGACUCGAGUCUUCCAAGUCUUCGCAAGGGUUAAAGGAUUUGACGGUCAACCAUUCAUGCUUUUUUUGUCAUUAAAUACCUUGCAA